rnacentral:rRNA from 1 species
GACGAACGCUGGCGGCGUGCCUAACACAUGCAAGUCGAGCGAGUGGAUCUCCUUCGGGAGUGAAGCUAGCGGCGGACGGGUGAGUAACACGUGGGCAACCUGCCUCAUAGAGGGGAAUAGCCUUUCGAAAGGAAGAUUAAUACCGCAUAAGAUUGUAGCUUCGCAUGAAGUAGCAAUUAAAGGAGCAAUCCGCUAUGAGAUGGGCCCGCGGCGCAUUAGCUAGUUGGUGAGGUAACGGCUCACCAAGGCGCCGAUGCGUAGCCGACCUGAGAGGGUGAUCGGCCACAUGGGGACUGAGACACGGCCCAGACUCCUACGGGAGGCAGCAGUGGGGAAUAUUGCACAAUGGGGGAAACCCUGAUGCAGCAACGCCGCGUGAGUGAUGACGGCCUUCGGGUUGUAAAGCUCUGUCUUCAGGGACGAUAAUGACGGUACCUGAGGAGGAAGCCACGGCUAACUACGUGCCAGCAGCCGCCGUAAGAC